rnacentral:rRNA from 1 species
UACGAGGGGGGCUAGCGUUGCUCGGAAUCACUGGGCGUAAAGGGUGCGUAGGUGGGCAAGUAAGUCAGUGGUGAAAUCUCCGGGCUUAACCCGGAAACUGCCAUUGAUACUAUUUGUCUUGAAUACUGUGGAGGUCAGCGGAAUAUGUCAUGUAGCGGUGAAAUGCUUAGAUAUGACAUAGAACACCAAUUGCGAAGGCAGCUGGCUACACAAAUAUUGACACUGAGGCACGAAAGCGUGGGGAUCAAACAGG